GUGCUUGGCUUUGGCAGCACAUGUAUUAAAAUUAGAAUGAUACAGAGAAAAUUAACAUGCCCUUUGUAUAAGGAUGACAUGCAAAUUCAUGAAUCAUUCCAUAUUUUA
ensembl:snRNA U6 U6 spliceosomal RNA